UUAAGCGACUAAGCGUACACGGUGGAUGCCCUGGCAGUCAGAGGCGAUGAAGGACGUGCUAAUCUGCGAAAAGCGCCGGCGAGGUGAUAUGAACCCUUGACCCGGCGAUGUCCGAAUGGGGAAACCCAGUGCAAUCCGUUGCACUAUCGUUAACUGAAUACAUAGGUUAACGAGGCGAACCGGGGGAACUGAAACAUCUAAGUACCCCGAGGAAAAGAAAUCAACCGAGAUUCCCCCAGUAGCGGCGAGCGAACGGGGAGCAGCCCGGAGUCUGAAUCAGCUUGUGUGUUAGUGGAACGGUCUGGAAAGUCCGACGGUACAGGGUGAUAGUCCCGUACACGAAAAUGCACAUGCUGUGAACUCGAAGAGUAGGGCGGGACACGUGGUAUCCUGUCUGAAUAUGGGGGGACCAUCCUCCAAGGCUAAAUACUCCUGACUGACCGAUAGUGAACCAGUACCGUGAGGGAAAGGCGAAAAGAACCCCGGCGAGGGGAGUGAAAAAGAACCUGAAACCGUGUACGUACAAGCAGUGGGAGCCUCUUUAUGGGGUGACUGCGUACCUUUUGUAUAAUGGGUCAGCGACUUAUAUUCUGUAGCAAGGUUAACCGUAUAGGGGAGCCGAAGGGAAACCGAGUCUUAACUGGGCGUUAAGUUGCAGGGUAUAGACCCGAAACCCGGUGAUCUAGCCAUGGGCAGGUUGAAGGUUGGGUAACACUAACUGGAGGACCGAACCGACUAAUGUUGAAAAAUUAGCGGAUGACCUGUGGCUGGGGGUGAAAGGCCAAUCAAACCGGGAGAUAGCUGGUUCUCCCCGAAAGCUAUUUAGGUAGCGCCUCGUGAACUCAUCUUCGGGGGUAGAGCACUGUUUCGGCUAGGGGGCCAUCCCGGCUUACCAACCCGAUGCAAACUACGAAUACCGAAGAAUGUUAUCACGGGAGACACACGGCGGGUGCUAACGUCCGUCGUGAAGAGGGAAACAACCCAGACCGCCAGCUAAGGUCCCAAAGUCAUGGUUAAGUGGGAAACGAUGUGGGAAGGCACAGACAGCCAGGAUGUUGGCUUAGAAGCAGCCAUCAUUUAAAGAAAGCGUAAUAGCUCACUGGUCGAGUCGGCCUGCGCGGAAGAUGUAACGGGGCUAAACCAUGCACCGAAGCUGCGGCAGCGACACUUAUGUGUUGUUGGGUAGGGGAGCGUUCUGUAAGCCGUUGAAGGUGUGCUGUGAGGCAUGCUGGAGGUAUCAGAAGUGCGAAUGCUGACAUAAGUAACGAUAAAGCGGGUGAAAAGCCCGCUCGCCGGAAGACCAAGGGUUCCUGUCCAACGUUAAUCGGGGCAGGGUGAGUCGACCCCUAAGGCGAGGCCGAAAGGCGUAGUCGAUGGGAAACAGGUUAAUAUUCCUGUACUUGGUGUUACUGCGAAGGGGGGACGGAGAAGGCUAUGUCAGCCGGGCGACGGUUGUCCCGGUUUAAGCAUGUAGGCGGAGGUUCCAGGUAAAUCCGGUACCUUGUUAACGCUGAGGUGUGAUGACGAGGCACUACGGUGCUGAAGUGAUAAAUGCCCUGCUUCCAGGAAAAGCCUCUAAGCAUCAGGUAACACGAAAUCGUACCCCAAACCGACACAGGUGGUCAGGUAGAGAAUACCAAGGCGCUUGAGAGAACUCGGGUGAAGGAACUAGGCAAAAUGGUGCCGUAACUUCGGGAGAAGGCACGCUGAUGUGUAGGUGAAGCCCCUGCGGGUGGAGCUGAAAUCAGUCGAAGAUACCAGCUGGCUGCAACUGUUUAUUAAAAACACAGCACUGUGCAAACACGAAAGUGGACGUAUACGGUGUGACGCCUGCCCGGUGCCGGAAGGUUAAUUGAUGGGGUUAGCGGCAACGCGAAGCUCUUGAUCGAAGCCCCGGUAAACGGCGGCCGUAACUAUAACGGUCCUAAGGUAGCGAAAUUCCUUGUCGGGU
rnacentral:rRNA from 1 species